AUUACAUCUACCACAUUUAAGACUUUUAAUCCUUGCUAAUCAUAUUCGUUUAUACUUUCCCAUGCAUUUUCAAGAAAUAUUAUUGGCGGUGCAUUUGCGUUGACAGAUGCUACACUUCGGACUUGGUUGUUUUUGUCUGUUGCAGAUUUGUUCUAUUUUCGCUCUCAGUCAGGAGCAUCUUUGAGGUGUCUCCAAGUUCGCGAAAUUUAGUGGAUUUCAAGUAUGUAGUGGCGUUUAUGAGUUUUAGCUGAAAGGCUGCUACACUGUAUGUAGUUUCGGAACGAAAUGCUGCUAUUUUUGUAGCGAAAAGUUCACUCCCCCCUGAUGGAGAAUAUCAUACUCCACAUGUGCGGACAAAUGCAUCGGGGGAGUAAAAUAUUGUCAUCAAGCGAGCCAAGUGAUUCUUGAAUCAGCGAGGAAGAUCGCAGGAAGUCGAUGAAUUCAUCUUGUGGCAGCAGUAUUUGCGAUACAUAAUCUGUUUUUACCGAAGGUGUCUAAGCACAACGCGAUAGAUGAUAACAACGAUCAUGUGACUUAUUUAAAUAAACCGAUAUUUAUCAUUUUGUUUCAUUUCUUUA